rnacentral:rRNA from 1 species
GACGAACGCUGGCGGCGUGCCUAACACAUGCAAGUCGAGCGGGGUAUGUGGAGCAGCUUGCUGCACCAUAUACCUAGCGGCGGACGGGUGAGUAACGCGUGAGUAACCUACCUUGUACUGGGGGAUAACAGCCGGAAACGGCUGCUAAUACCGCAUAAGACCACAUUGCCGCAUGGCGAAGUGGUCAAAGUGGCUUAACCGGUACAAGAUGGGCUCGCGUCCCAUUAGCUAGUUGGUGAGGUAACGGCUCACCAAGGCGACGAUGGGUAGCCGGCCUGAGAGGGUGUACGGCCACACUGGGACUGAGACACGGCCCAGACUCCUACGGGAGGCAGCAGUGGGGGAUAUUGCGCAAUGGGGGGAACCCUGACGCAGCGACGCCGCGUGAGCGAAGAAGGUCUUCGGAUCGUAAAGCUCUGUCAUCGGGGACGAAUAAAUGACGGUACCCGAAGAGGAAGCCCCGGCUAACUACGUGCCAGCAGCCGCGGUAAUAUGUAGGGGGCGAGCGUUGUCCGAAUUACUGGGCGUAAGGGGUGCGUAGGCGGUCUGUCAAGUCAGGUGUGAAAUACCACGGCUCACCU